rnacentral:rRNA from 1 species
AAUCCAUAGGUUAAUGAGGCGAACCGGGGGAACUGAAACAUCUAAGUACCCCGAGGAAAAGAAAUCAACCGAGAUUCCCCCAGUAGCGGCGAGCGAACGGGGAGGAGCCCAGAGCCUGAAUCAGCAUGUGUGUUAGUGGAAGCGUCUGGAAAGGCGCGCGAUACAGGGUGACAGCCCCGUACACAAAAGCGCAUGUGCUGUGAGCUCGAUGAGUAGGGCGGGACACGUGGUAUCCUGUCUGAAUAUGGGGGGACCAUCCUCCAAGGCUAAAUACUCCUGACUGACCGAUAGUGAACCAGUACCGUGAGGGAAAGGCGAAAAGAACCCCGGCGAGGGGAGUGAAAAAGAACCUGAAACCGUGUACGUACAAGCAGUGGGAGCACAGGUUUACCUGUGUGACUGCGUACCUUUUGUAUAAUGGGUCAGCGACUUAUAUUCUGUAGCAAGGUUAACCGAAUAGGGGAGCCGGAGGGAAACCGAGUCUUAAUUGGGCGUUAAGUUGCAGGGUAUAGACCCGAAACCCGGUGAUCUAGCCAUGGGCAGGUUGAAGGUUGGGUAACACUAACUGGAGGACCGAACCGACUAAUGUUGAAAAAUUAGCGGAUGACCUGUGGCUGGGGGUGAAAGGCCAAUCAAACCGGGAGAUAGCUGGUUCUCCCCGAAAGCUAUUUAGGUAGCGCCUCGUGAAUUCAUCUCCGGGGGUAGAGCACUGUUUCGGCUAGGGGGCCAUCCCGGCUUACCAACCCGAUGCAAACUGCGAAUACCGGAGAAUGUUAUCACGGGAGACACACGGCGGGUGCUAACGUCCGUCGUGAAGAGGGAAACAACCCAGACCGCCAGCUAAGGUCCCAAAGUCAUGGUUAAGUGGGAAACGAUGUGGGAAGGCCCAGACAGCCAGGAUGUUGGCUUAGAAGCAGCCAUCAUUUAAAGAAAGCGUAAUAGCUCACUGGUCGAGUCGGCCUGCGCGGAAGAUGUAACGGGGCUAAACCAUGCACCGAAGCUGCGGCAGCGAACGUAUCACUUAAAGCGAUUCAGCGGGUUACGAUUGACGGAGCGAAGCGACGUCAAAGCGUAUACAAAGUCGAGUCGGUUUAAGGAUACGUUCGUUGGGUAGGGGAGCGUUCUGUAAGCCUGUGAAGGUGGCCUGUGAGGGUUGCUGGAGGUAUCAGAAGUGCGAAUGCUGACAUAAGUAACGAUAAAGCGGGUGAAAAGCCCGCUCGCCGGAAGACCAAGGGUUCCUGUCCAACGUUAAUCGGGGCAGG